rnacentral:rRNA from 1 species
UGGAAGUAAAAGUCGUAACAAGGUUUCCGUAAGGUGAACCUGCGGAAGGAUCAUUACCGAGUGAGGGCCCUCUGGGUCCAACCUCCCACCCGUGUUUAUUUUACCUUGUUGCUUCGGCGGGCCCGCCUUAACUGGCCGCCGGGGGGCUUACGCCCCCGGGCCCGCGCCCGCCGAAGACACCCUCGAACUCUGUCUGAAGAUUGUAGUCUGAGUGAAAAUAUAAAUUAUUUAAAACUUUCAACAACGGAUCUCUUGGUUCCGGCAUCGAUGAAGAACGCAGCGAAAUGCGAUACGUAAUGUGAAUUGCAAAUUCAGUGAAUCAUCGAGUCUUUGAACGCACAUUGCGCCCCCUGGUAUUCCGGGGGGCAUGCCUGUCCGAGCGUCAUUGCUGCCCUCAAGCACGGCUUGUGUGUUGGGCCCCGUCCUCCGAUCCCGGGGGACGGGCCCGAAAGGCAGCGGCGGCACCGCGUCCGGUCCUCGAGCGUAUGGGGCUUUGUCACCCGCUCUGUAGGCCCGGCCGGCGCUUGCCGAUCAACCCAAAUUUUUAUCCAGGUUGACCUCGGAUCAGGUAGGGAUACCCGCUGAACUUAAGCAUAUCAAUAAGCGGAGGAA